UUGGGUUAAAUCAAUGUGUCAUACAUUUUGGAAAUAAAACCCGCAUAAAGUGGUGGGACAUGCAUUGAUUUUAUCCAA
rnacentral:pre_miRNA from 1 species